rnacentral:rRNA from 1 species
CCUACGGGAGGCAGCAGUAGGGAAUAUUAGAAAUGGACGAAAGUCUGAUCUAGCGACACCGCGUGUGCGAUGAAGGCCUUCGGGUUGUAAAGCACUUUUUGGAAGGAAUAGGAAGGAAGGUACUUCCAGAAUAAGUCUCGGCUAACUACGUGCCAGCAGCCGCGGUAACACGUAGGAGGCAAACGUUAUCCGGGAUUUACUGGGCGUAAAGCGCGUGUAGGUGGUUUUGUAAGUAGGGCGUGAAAGCUCCCGGCUCAACCUGGGAGAGGCCGUUCUAAACUGCAGAACUAGAGGAUGGUAGAGGGAGGUGGAAUUCCAGGUGUAGCGGUGGAAUGCGCAGAUAUCUGGAGGAACACCAGUGGCGAAAGCGGCCUCCUGGACCAUUCCUGACACUCAGACGCGAAAGCUAGGGUAGCAAACGGGAUUAGAGACCCCGGCUAGUCCUAGCCCUAAACGAUGUAGACUAGACGUCGGUGGUGUAAUAGCUGUCGGUGUCCAAGCUAACGCGAUAAGUCUAACCGCCUGGGGACUACGGCCGCAAGUUAAACUCAAAGGAAUUGACGG